rnacentral:rRNA from 1 species
AUGAACGCUGGCGGCGUGCCUAAUACAUGCAAGUCGAGCGAACAGACGAGGAGCUUGCUCCUCUGACGUUAGCGGCGGACGGGUGAGUAACACGUGGAUACCUACCUUUAAGACUGGGAUAACCUCGGGAAACCGGAGCUAAUACCGGAUAAUAUAAUGAACCGCAUGGUUCAAUAGUUAAAGACGGUUUUGCUGUCACUUAUAGAUGGAUCCGCGCCGCAUUAGCUAGUUGGUAAGGUAACGGCUUACCAAGGCAACGAUGCGUAGCCGACCUGAGAGGGUGAUCGGCCACACUGGAACUGAGACACGGUCCAGACUCCUACGGGAGGCAGCAGUAGGGAAUCUUCCGCAAUGGGCGAAAGCCUGACGGAGCAACGCCGCGUGAGUGAUGAAGGUCUUCGGAUCGUAAAACUCUGUUAUUAGGGAAGAACAAAUGUGUAAGUAACUAUGCACGUCUUGACGGUACCUAAUCAGAAAGCCACGGCUAACUACGUG